AGACCGGCCCAAACCUGGAGUCCAAAUAUUAAAACAAUCGGCAGCACUUUUGUCUUCUGCACUUCUAAUUCUAACACAAAAAAACAAGCGGCACCCAAUCUUGACUCUUCACCAACAGCCCAGCAACAACAUUUCAUCAGCAACAAAAUUUCAUCAACAUUACAGCAACAACGUCUCAUCAACAUUACUCCAGCUGUGCAGCAGGAAACUUAAAUGUUGAAAAAAAAGACAAAUUUUAAAAUUGUUCUUCUUUCAACCAAACAUUCAUCAAAAGUAGCGGCAAUCUAUAUAUCAUAAUCAUUCUAAAUAUCAACCAAACUUUGCCGAUACUCGCUACUAGAAGAGUAGAAGUGGGAACAAACCGAUUCCAAUUUAGGGUUCCAAUAAUCAAAUUGGUGUACCUAGACGCCGAGUACGAUAGCGUCGCCGCAAUCGAGGUCCUCACUACACACUCGUCGCCGUGAGUCUGGGUCUCCGAAAGAGCUCGUCCUCAUCGGAGAGUCCUCGUCCGCCGUCGCCGGAGUAGGGUUCAGAAAGGGGUUUUGCUUCCCUUGACUAUGUGAGUUCGCGAGGGAGAGGAGAGAGGAAGGGCAUUAGGAUAGGGUUGACUGUGUGUUAUUUU
rnacentral:lncRNA from 1 species